rnacentral:rRNA from 2 species
AACAGGGAUUGCCCAGUAACGGCGAGUGAAGCGGCAACAGCUCAAAUUUGAAAUCUGGCUCUCGGGCCCGAGUUGUAAUUUGUAGAGGAUGCUUUUGGUGAGGUGCCUUCCGAGUUCCCUGGAACGGGACGCCAUAGAGGGUGAGAGCCCCGUCUGGUUGGACGCCGAACCUCUGUAAAGCUCCUUCGACGAGUCGAGUAGUUUGGGAAUGCUGCUCUAAAUGGGAGGUAUAUGUCUUCUAAAGCUAAAUACCGGCCAGAGACCGAUAGCGCACAAGUAGAGUGAUCGAAAGAUGAAAAGAACUUUGAAAAGAGAGUUAAACAGUACGUGAAAUUGUUGAAAGGGAAGCGCUUGUGACCAGACUUGGGCUUGGUUGAUCAUCCGGGGUUCUCCCCGGUGCACUCUUCCGGCCCAGGCCAGCAUCAGUUCGCCCUGGGGGACAAAGGCAUCGGGAACGUGGCUCUCUCCGGGGAGUGUUA